GCGGUGUCUUGCUGGAAGGGCAGCUCGGUGGAGGCCGAGGGUUGGUUUGGAGGGUCCCAGGGGAUCGCGUGUCACCCCCCGACCCACCCCCGGUUCCUCUCCAGCUGAUCCCUGCUGCUUCUUCACCCAAGCCUGGUCCCUGCGGAUGCCCCUGGGCUCCCAGUUCGCUGCCGGUGUGAGGUGCAGCAGGGAAGGUAGACGUGGAAGGACGGGCCUGAGUGCAGGUCACAUCUAAGGAGGCACUUGGCUGCCGUCCAGCACAAGGCCACUGUCAUGGUCCAGGAGGGUGACCUGGGCCCAGGCAGGGGAGGCGUGGACGCUGCUCUGGCAGACGCUCCAGAGACGCAAGAUCAAGUGCCACGUCCUGUCGGCUGGAGUCACCGUCCUGCUGGUCAUCAUCCUCACCUACUGCCACCUCCAUCCGAAAGUAAUGCCCCUGACGGUUGAUGCUCGGACCCAGG